GACGAACGCUGGCGGCGUGCUUAACACAUGCAAGUCGAACGGAAAGGCCCUGCUUUUGUGGGGUGCUCGAGUGGCGAACGGGUGAGUAACACGUGAGUAACCUGCCCUUGACUUUGGGAUAACUUCAGGAAACUGGGGCUAAUACCGGAUAGGAGAUCCUGCUGCAUGGUGGGGGUUGGAAAGUUUCGGCGGUUGGGGAUGGACUAGCGGCUUAUCAGCUUGUUGGUGGGGUAGUGGCUUACCAAGGUUUUGACGGGUAGCCGGCCUGAGAGGGUGACCGGGCACAUUGGGACUGAGAUACGGCCCAGUCUCCUACGGGAGGCAGCAGUGGGGAAUAUUGCACAAUGGGCGGAAGCCUGAUGCAGCAACGCCGCGUGCGGGAUGACGGCCUUCUGGUUGUAAACCGCUUUCGCCUGUGACGAAGCGUGAGUGACGGUAAUGGGUAAAGAAGCACCGGCUAACUACGUG
rnacentral:rRNA from 1 species